UACGAAGGGGGCUAGCGUUGCUCGGAAUCACUGGGCGUAAAGCGCACGUAGGCGGAUUGUUAAGUCAGGGGUGAAAUCCUGGAGCUCAACUCCAGAACUGCCUUUGAUACUGGCGAUCUCGAGUCCGGGAGAGGUGAGUGGAACUGCGAGUGUAGAGGUGAAAUUCGUAGAUAUUCGCAAGAACACCAGUGGCGAAGGCGGCUCACUGGCCCGGUACUGACGCUGAGGUGCGAAAGCGUGGGAGCAAACAGGGAU
rnacentral:rRNA from 1 species